AUUGAACGCUGGCGGCAGGCCUAACACAUGCAAGUCGAACGAGUGGCGGACGGGUGAGUAAUGUCUGGGAAACUGCCUGCUGGAGGGGGAUAACUACUGGAAACGGUAGCUAAUACCGCAUAACAUCAGAUGUGCCCUGAUGGGAUUAGCUUGUUGGUGGGGUAACGGCUCACCAAGGCGACGAUCCCUAGCUGGUCUGAGAGGCUGACCAGCCACACUGGAACUGAGACACGGUCCAGACUCCUACGGGAGGCAGCAGUGGGGAAUAUUGCGCAAUGGGCGCAAGCCUGAUGCAGCCAUGCCGCGUGUAUGAAGAAGGCUUUCGGGUUGUAAAGUACUUUCAGCGGGGAAGCGUUACCCGCAGAAAAAGCACCGGCUAACUCCGUGCCAGCAGCCGCGGUAAUUC
rnacentral:rRNA from 1 species